UCAAGCAAGCACAUGUCCUUGUGACCUCUUUUUAGUUUGCUUGAUAUAGUUCUCUUUAUAAAACUAUAUAUAGUUUUGUAAACCAUGCAUAUCAGUCGAUUAAUAAUUUUUGUAGGAGAGAUUACAAGCCUGCCUACGUCGUUGAAGUAAUGAAUUACAUGAGUUAGUAGCAUACAAUAUUAUCUAUAUAUCCUAGUUGAGUAAAUAAAAAUGACUUACACGUUAUACAUAUAUGGAUCAUAUUUAGUCAUAUAUAUCAUCAAUCUAACUCCUUUCUUUCACCAUUUUAAUUAAUUAUCUUGGUACUAUAAAUAUGUUCAAGAAACCAAUGGUAUAAUGAACGGAUAAUCCAUGCCGAGAGGAAGAAGAAAGUAGAGUAAAGAGCAGACAUUGAACUGGAAAAUAAAAUGUUGAU
rnacentral:lncRNA from 1 species